rnacentral:lncRNA from 1 species
CCUCCAGUGAGGUUGGUGAGCCAAGAAGGCUAACAAUCCAGUGCUGGGAGCUGAAACUGCCCUAAUGAGUAUGAAGAAAUGAGCAGAAGGCCUGGUCUCCAGGUGAACACAGGAGGUGAUCCCUGAGGUCAGAUCUGAGGAGGACAGACAGCGUUGCCCUGGCGGGGACAAGGAGGAGAAACAGAUUAAGAAGGGGACCCAACUUGCCACCAACCCAGCAAAUGUCUGACUUAAUACCCUGGAUAGUGGUGUUUAAAAUGUGACCCUGGACCCACAGCAUCAGUAUCACCUGAGAACUUAUUAGGUAUGUACAUUCUUGGGCCCACCCAGACCCUCCUGAAUCAGAA